rnacentral:rRNA from 1 species
GGACUACACGGGUUUCUAAUCCUGUUUGCUCCCCACGCUUUCGUGCAUGAGUGUCAGUGUUAACCCAGGGGGCUGCCUUCGCCAUUGGUAUUCCUCCACAUCUCUACGCAUUUCACUGCUACACGUGGAAUUCUACCCCCCUCUGCCACACUCUAGCCGUGCAGUCCUCAAUGCAGUUCCCAGGUUAAGCCCGGGGAUUUCACAUCAAGCUUACACAACCACCUGCGCACGCUUUACGCCCAGUAAUUCCGAUUAACGCUUGCACCCUACGUAUUACCGCGGCUGCUGGCAC